rnacentral:miRNA from 9 species
CAGUGCAAUGAUAUUGUCAAAGC